AAUCUGCCUGGCAGCAGAGACGGAAAGCAUUUAGCAGGAGCUGGAAGAGGAUCACAGACGGGUUUAUGCCAGCACAGAAUUUAGAAGACCAUGAAGAGAGGUGAAAAACUAGGACUGGAAGGAAGAAAAAUCUUCAUGGAACCCCAAAAAGUCCCUGGUACCACCUUCCCUCCUCAUCUCUAGUGUGUGGCUGAUUGAUAAUUGUCAUUAUCUAUGAGAUAUUGCUGGAGCUCUUCCAUCAGAAGACAUGAAGAGUUCUUCCAUCAGAGGAUGUGCCCACGCCUUGUGAGCUUUCCUUCCUCACAGUGAACUCUGAGAGUUGGAGAAGCUCAUGGUUUACAGGAGACUUUGGCAAGGGCUGAUGUUAAAAAUGGAGAAGAAACACAGGACAAUCAGCACUGAGGGGCUGGAGAACUCUCUGGAAUAACUUGGGAUAUUUGCAUCCCUGGGGCCUGUUGUGCGUCAAAGAAUGGAAAGUAUAUUGGGAAAAAGUUAA